rnacentral:rRNA from 1 species
CCUACGGGAGGCAGCAGUGGGGAAUAUUGGUCAAUGGCCGGAAGGCUGAACCAGCCAUGCCGCGUGAAGGUCAGUGCCCUAUGGGCGUUAAACUUCUUUUGUGCGGGAGCAAUCAUGGUCCCGUGUGGCCAGACGAGAGUACCGUACGAAUAAGCAUCUGCUAACUCCGUGCCAGCAGCCGCGGUAAUACGGGGGAUGUACGCGUUUUCCGGAUUUAUGGGUUUAAAGGGUGCGUAGGCUGGGAGGUAAGUCAGCGGUGAAAUGCUCCCGCUCAACGGGGUGAAGUGCCAUUGAUACUGCCUUGCUGGAAUGCGAAUGCAGUGGGAGGAAUGUGUGGUGUAGCGGUGAAAUGCAUAGAUAUCACACAGAACACCGAUUGCGAAGGCAUCUCACGAAUCCGCGAUUGACGCUGAUGCACGAAAGCGUGGGUAUCAAACAGGAUUAGAUACCCUGGUAGUC